rnacentral:rRNA from 1 species
AUUCCAGCUCCAAUAGCGUAUAUCAAAGUUGUUGCGGUUAAAAAGCUCGUAGUUGGAUUUCUGUCGGUGAAUAUCAGUCCGCCCACAGCGGUAGGUACGUGAUAUUUCACCGGCAUCUUCCUGGGGAAUGUGUCUGCUCUUUAUUGAGUGGUACAUAAGCCAGGACUUUUACUUUGAAGAAAUGAGAGUGUUUCAAGCAGGCAUGCGCCGUGAAUACGUUAGCAUGGGAUAAUAGCACCGGACCUCGUUCCAAAGCUGUUGGUUUCUUGGACCGAGGUAAAGGUGAAUAGGGAUUGUUGGGGGCAUUCGUAUUUGACUGUCAGAGGUGAAAUUCUUGGAUUUGUUGAAGACGGACUACUGCGAAAGCAUCUGCCAAAGAUGUUCUCAUCA